AAGUUGUGAGUUAAAAGCCUGAGGCAGAGAAGGACUUGUGUUGCCUGUGUCAGGAGCUAGAAUUUGGAAGCCCUGUGGGAAGUGGCAGAGGGAGCUGAGGGCAGAAGGUAGAGCCACUGAGUGCUUUUGCACUUGGAAGGCAUAAAACUGCCAUGGCACCCGGCCAUGGCUCUGUUCAUCUCCUCCAGCAGAGCUCGGCAGCUACCCAUGAGAAUGAACCAGGAUUGUAUAAGACAGCUAUCAAAUUCCAUAAAUUCACAUUCGUGGAUGACAGAAUAGUGGAGCAACUCUACACUUGGCAAGUGUUGUGUCUCUAAAUGGACAUAACUUGUUUACUAUUUGGAACAUUCUUAGGCACUUCAAUAUUGUAUACCAUCACUACCUAGGCCCCCGGCUCUCUCUCCUGCCGUCCACAUAUGCCGAUAUACAAUGUGCUUGUAAGGCUGGCCGCACCUGUUUGUGCCUGUAAACACCCUUGUUUUCAUGGUAUCACUUCACUUAAGUAUGAAAGAUUUCUCAGUUGGAAGGGAGACACAUGCUCCGUCUUCAGAAGGCAACACAUCUGAGGCAGUUCUUCCCUCGGUUUCUUCGUGUGGCCCGCUUCAUGGAACCUCACAUUGACCAGUUUUCCCUUUGGGAUGGUCAACUUGAUGUUCUCAUUGUGUCCAUUACUUCGGCCAUUUUUAUACCAUGCACACAUCACAGGUAUCACAGCAGUUUGUCUUUGUUCUUUCUGAACACUCUCGAGUUCCAUCGGGCACAGCAAUGAGUUCUAGUCAUCAAUUUUCUUUUGAUUGUAUCCUCUUGUCUGAUGCCAAUUAUUACCAAAUAAUCUAAAGUAGAUCUAAAGUGGCUUAUUAUGAACAUAAAGAAAAAUAAGGGGAAGAGAAUGGGGAGGGGGCAGGGCAAGAGGAGGCAAGAGAGGCCAGAGAGUAAGAGCGUACGGUUAGGUUUUAACCAGAGCACACUGUGGCUGUUAAACAACUUUAGCAGUCAGUAGCUACAGUCAGGUGAGUGUCUUAUUUCUUCAGCAUGGAGCUGCCCACAAGUUCUUAACAGUGAGGUAGAAAUAGGAGGAGCUUAGCAUUCCUCACACUGCACCAGUCACUUUACCUGAGUAGAAGACAGGACACUUGGGGCAUGUGAUGAUAAAAUAAACUUUUGUACUGAAGUCCCAGUCACCCAAGGCCCCUCUUUUAGCUCUUUUUUUUUUUUUUAUUACCCAAUUAUAGUUUGAUCCCCUAACGGGAUGUGGCAGUUAGUUUCCCCUGGCAGUUGGUGCUUUUUGCCUUAUAUUGAGACUGAGAAGUCAUGCCAUUUUUGCAUUUUCUUCAUGUUUGUAUAUCUGGUUGUAUAACCAUGGAUAGCAUUUUCUAAGUGGAAUAUUGCUAAGUACAUUUUCUUUGUGUCACAUUGAUUUUUAAAAGUUUCAUAUAUGCAGAUUUUAAUAUUUUGGGUUUAAUCUCAAUUUUUGAGCAUGUUCUCUAAAUUUCUCAUGGAAUAAGCCACACCCAUCUAUAUGUAAAACAGGUCUUUAGGUUCUGCAGGCAGUAUGUACCUGUACUCACAUUAAAGUCAGCAAGGGACGAGCCAGACCUUGGCAAGACGGCCAGUUGCACAGUUUUUGGGGGAGACACAUCCUUCCCAUCUGACCUCCCUAAACCCUUGUCUGCUUGAUGCCCUCCCUCAUUUAGCAAACUUCAGAAAAAUUACUGAGUGGCAUCUCAUUGUGCCACCAGACCUGUCCUUUUGAGUUGCACUUAUAAAUGUCAACAUUCAGGAAGCUGUUUUGAGGAAUUGCAUAAAAGCAGCAGAAAUAUUCUAGGAAAAAAAUACGAUUACCUUAAAAUUAAAAAACAAAAACAAAAACAAAAAAUCAAGCAGUCAGAUUUUGUGCUGUAUGUGGGUAGGUGUGCACACCCAUGUGCCUGUGUGGGGGUAGGACAACACAUCUCUGUGUAUCACUAUAAAGUACAGAGGAGGACUUUGGGUGCUAUAGUCGAUAGUUUUAUGUCAACUUGACACAAGCUAGAGUCAUCUGAGGGAAGAGAACUUUAAUUGAGUAAAUACCUUCAUAAGUUCAGGCUGUAGGCAUGAUUACAGGGCAUUUUCUUAAUUAGUGAUUGAUGUGGCAGUGCUGAGCCAAUUGUGGGUGGUACCAUCCCUGGAUUCUAUAAGAAAGCAGGCUGAGCAAGCCAGGGGAAGCAACCCAGUAAGCAGCAUUCCCCAUGGCCUCUGCAUCAGCUCCUGCCUCCAGGUUCCUGCCCAGUUUGAGUUUUGCCUUGGCUUCUAUCAAUGGACUGUGACUGGGGAUAUGUAAGCCAAAUAAAUCCUUUCCUUUUGGAGUUGCUUUGGUCACGGUGCUUCAUCACGUCAGUAGGAAUUGUAAUUAAGACGAGCUGGCCUCAUCACUGAACUUACAGUGAGCGCACACAGCCACACUUUUGAGGUUAUUGUGUAUGUGUGUAUGUGUGUAUGUGUGGCCAUGAUCAGUUUUUUAAUGUGGGUUGUGGGGAUCCCAGUGCAGGUGUUCAUUCUGCACAACAAGCAUGUUAUUCACCAAGCCAUCUCCCCAAACCCACAAAUAGUUUAUUUUUCUGAUUAUAGUACAAUUACAUUUCUAUCUUUUCUUUCCUCCCCCGCAAACCCUCCCAAGUACUUCACUCCACAGGGGUCUCUGCUUUCACCAGUUUUUUUAUUGCCCACACAUACAUUCCUAAAUGUUAGCUGUUUGGUCUGUACAGUGUUCCUUCACUGUCUGUUUUCAGGGCUGAUUAUUUGAAACCGGACACCCAGUUGGUGCGCUCUUCUCUGGGCAGACCAUCUUUCUCAUUCACUGCUUUCUGCAAUCACCUCUUACAGAAGAGGAGAGUAGAAAGAGUAGGAGCCAGAGGAUCAGGGGUUUGCUGUGAGACUGCUUGGUGAUGUCAUAGACUGCAUAGUAAUCUCCUAGUAACAGCAGAAGCCACAUUCAGAAAGUCUCACCAGCUUGAUGUCCCAAAUGUGAGCUGAACAAGGAAGGACACCACCAUAAUUAGUUCUAAUAAUGUAUGGGUUCUGAUCUGGAUCAUCAGGAGUUUAGACACGGGUAAUUUCAACUUAUCUCCUCCAAUUCUCUCUGGACCAGAGUUAAAUGUGGUUUUCUACUUUACCACUGUAUUUGAAUUCCCUAUGUCCGAAAUAAAAGUAUAUGUGGACAUACUGAAGCGUUUAUUGUGAGGACAAAGCACGUUACUGAAAUGUCUGCCUGGAAACUUUGUCUUCUAAAUGUACAUCAGGACUUUGGUGUGCGGUGCAGGCUUUGUAAGAGCAGUGCAUUUUCUGGAGCAGAUCCUUGCUGGGCAGUGAUAAGCUCUGCAAUAAUUAGGUAAUCUCAUCAGUGUGCACUUAUCGUGUAUGGCAGCUUUCUCUCUGGUGCCAUGCCACCCUCCUCUCAGGCGUGGGUACCGGCAGGUGAUCGCGCCCGUUUGUAAAGCACACGGCUUGUGGGUCCUGUGUCUGAAGAGAUAAGUAGCAGGUUCCCACGUGGAGGCAAAGAGCAAGGAGGAGGCUCUUCCAACUUUGCAAAAGAAAGCACCAGUUGAUCCUCAGCACCCAUCACUGUAAAAACUCCAGCCCUAGGUUGCCCUCAGCUGCGAUACGGCACACACACAUAACCAGUAUCCAUAGAAUAAAGCUGAGUGUUUUGGGGAUAGAUUACAC
rnacentral:lncRNA from 1 species